AAGCCAAGGUUAAUAAGGGCCUUUGUAUACUUUCCCAAAUAAAUACAUUAACACAGUUAACCUUUGACCUGCAAUGCCCUUAAUCUUUCAGCCCCAAGCUUCUCCUGGGAAGGGCGUAGCGAUUCUGCCAAAGGAGCUGUGCCACAGAGAGUGCUGAGCACUCACUAUAGUUUAGACCGAAACCACCUUAAUCACUCACCUCUCAUCUUGCCAGAUUUUCAGAGUGUAACUAUUCAAACUGUUCUUAUAUUUCUCAGGCUUAAUCUUCCCCACAUAAAGAAGGGCAGCACUACUUUUCUGCUGUUGCCGCUCACUUAGCUCAGAGGCAUUUCCCAGCUCUAACGCCUGGUACCACCAUAAAAAGAUAGAGAGUCCUGCUCUGCCUCUGCGUGCCCACCUGCUCUAAACUCAGACUGUGAUCCUUGCAACUGGCCUCUGUGCUUGCUCCCCACUGGUGUUAGCAGGUGCAAAAAUUUGUCAUGCAAAUCUCUUUGACCUGAAGUAACCGAAUGCAUCUUAGAAACAUGAGUCUCCUGCUUACUCACGAAAUUCUCUCUGGUUAGCUGAAUUGAUCAUAAAGAGCUUCGAGCCUUUUUCUAAUUUUCUACUGGAUUACAGAUUGAGCUAACAGAAAAUCAACCAAUAAAUGAACAAGUACAGUGUUUAUGGAGCAGCUACAAAGGGACCAGCACUGAACUGAGCACCAUAAGGAAUUCCAAAGAGUAUCAGACAGGGUCCCCCAGCUUCACGGAACCUCUAAUCUAUUUGCUGAGAGAAAACACUAACACACCUGACAUACACAAAGAAAAAAUGUUAGCAAAUAUGCCUCGAUGCAAGUAUUUCUGGUCAGAGAAAAGGAAAUGUACUCCAUAAAAAGAAUCAGCCUUUGCAAUCCAAGUGGUGAACUGAGAUAAAAGAUGUGAAUAAAACCUCCAAAUUGGGCACACUGUCCAACCGGCUCUCACCUCCAUGAUCCCACUGCUUGAAAGCUAGAUCAAGCUACGCUUUGGUAGGAGGACAGUAUAAUGAUAGUCAAGAUUAAAUUUCAGAGGCAGCUCAGAGAACAUUUUAAAAAUCUAAUUUCCAAGUUCCUAAGGGGAGUCAACUUUUUUAAAAGUCCUUUAACAUGUUUUUGAAAUUUUUUGUAACCUCUAAACAAAUAUUUUUAAAUCGGACUGGGGAAAGAUCAGAGAUCCUUAAUGGCAGUUUUGCAUCGUGCCUGAAAAUUAGUUAGGAAAAUGGACAAAUCCUAUGGGUUUUGUCUUCUUAGAGAUUUUUUUCAUAAACAAAGGGCAAGUUCCUUAUAAUGGAAAACUAGUUCCAAGAUACACAGCUUAAGAGAAGUAUGGGAAAGGAAUUAUUUUUCUCCAAAAUACUUUCCUUUCUUCUCCUUGUUCUAAAUGGUUAUUGAAGUGGUUUUUUUUCCCUGAUAGAACAAUAGACUCUUAUUUCCACAAAAUAAAUGGUAUAAGCAAUCAAAAAAUACUUCCCUAAUGGAAGACAGAUAAAAGAGAGAGAGGAAAAAAAAAAAA